AAGUUUUUAACCUUGUUCUCUUAAACUUCGCUCACGUAAAAAACCACACUCCUCAAACACCACGAUGCCUUCCUCUAUAGUGGAGCUUUGAACUCCCAUUCUUCAUUGCAAUGACUUGCCUUCUCUGAUGGCGAUUUGAACUUGGACACCCACUCUACACAUCUUGUGAAUUUUUCUUGUCUUAGGGUUUGUUCUCCUUCUUAUCAAGGUAUAGGUCGCGUUUGAGAAGUCUCGAAGUGGAAGCUUGGAUUAGUGAUUCAUUCAAGUAAAGAGUUGGUAUGUCGUCACUAGAUUUGAGGACGUCUUGAUGUUUAGAUUUCCUUAUUGAAAGUAUUGUAAUAGACUUAGCUAUAUUCUAUGUGAUGAAUUAUGGUCCGUGUCCUAAUUUAUUCGUAUGUCUAAGAUGACGACUUUGAGACUUAGACUUCCAUUAUGUUUUUCUAUAAAAGAGAUAUUUUAAAGUAUUAUUAUUUCA